UACGUAGGUGGCGAGCGUUGUCCGGAUUUACUGGGCGUAAAGCGUGCGCAGGCGGUUUUGUAAGCCCGAUGUGAAAUCCCCGGGCUUAACCUGGGAAUGGCAUUUGGGACUGCAAGGCUGGAGUGUGGCAGAGGAGACUGGAAUUCCUGGUGUAGCAGUGAAAUGCGUAGAUAUCAGGAGGAAUACCGAUGGCGAAGGCAGGUCUCUGGGCUGACACUGACGCUCAUGCACGAAAGCGUGGGGAGCAAACAGG
rnacentral:rRNA from 1 species